UGCCAUCAGCCGCGGUAAUACGAAGGGUGCUAGCGUUGUUCGGAAUUACUGGGCGUAAAGAGCAUGUAGGCGGAUCGUUAAGUGAGGGGUGAAAUCCCAGGGCUCAACCCUGGAACUGCCUCUCAUACUGGCGAUCUGGAGUUCGAGAGAGGUGAGUGGAAUUCCGAGUGUAGAGGUGAAAUUCGUAGAUAUUCGGAGGAACACCAGUGGCGAAGGCGCGAUCCUGGCCUGUCCCUGACGCUGAGGCGCGAAAGCGUGGGUAGCAAACAGGAUUAGAUA
rnacentral:rRNA from 1 species